rnacentral:rRNA from 1 species
GACGAACGCUGGCGGCGUGCCUAAUACAUGCCAGUCGAGCGCAGGAAGUCAUCCGAACCCUUCGGGGGGACGUUGACGGAAUGAGCGGCGGACGGGUGAGUAACACGUAAAGAACCUGCCCUCAGGUCUGGGAUAACCACGAGAAAUCGGGGCUAAUACCGGAUGGGUCAUCGGACCGCAUGGUCCGAGGAUGAAAGGCGCUCCGGCGUCGCCUGGGGAUGGCUUUGCGGUGCAUUAGCUAGUUGGUGGGGUAAUGGCCCACCAAGGCGACGAUGCAUAGCCGACCUGAGAGGGUGAUCGGCCACACUGGGACUGAGACACGGCCCAGACUCCUACGGGAGGCAGCAGUAGGGAAUCUUCCACAAUGGACGAAAGUCUGAUGGAGCAACGCCGCGUGAACGAUGAAGGCCCUCGGGUCGUAAAGUUCUGUUGUAAGGGAAGAACAAGUGCCGCAGGCAAUGGCGGCACCUUGACGGUACCUUGCGAGAAAGCCACGGCUAACUACGUG